UACGUAGGGCGCAAGCGUUGUCCGGAAUUAUUGGGCGUAAAGAGCUCGUAGGCGGUUUGUCACGUCGGAUGUGAAAGCCCGGGGCUUAACCCCGGGUCUGCAUUCGAUACGGGCAGACUGGAGUGUGGUAGGGGAGAUCGGAAUUCCUGGUGUAGCGGUGAAAUGCGCAGAUAUCGGGAGGAACACCGGUGGCGAAGGCGGUUCUCUGGAACGCAACUGACGCUGAGACGCGAAAGCGUGGGGAGCAAACAGG
rnacentral:rRNA from 1 species